rnacentral:lncRNA from 1 species
CUGUGAGGGUUCGGUGUCUGCAGCGGGGCGUGAUGCUGCACCACGCGUACAGAAGCAGAAAGCUACACCAGAGCUACAACUUGGCUCUUCUGGCAAUGCAUAGCCAGACCUCUUCAGGAUCAGAGCUGGACAAGGAAGCGAUCAAAAGCAGCAAACAAACCUAAAUGUGCUGCUUCCUGCCUUUCAGAGGCAAGCCAAACUACUUCACAAACUGGGGGCUUAAACAGGAAAGGAGAUGAUACUGCCUCAAACCCCGCUUCCCGCAGUACCUCAAUACUUCCGUCCACAAAAUCAUCAGGUGCAAGCACACCAAAAGCCACAAGUCAUCCUGCUUGAUCCUCAGUUACCAGCAGCAUUCAAACAUCAAAAUCAGAGCCUCAUCCACCAAGCUGCAAAACUUCUGUAGGACCAUAGUCAAAGAGCUGCACUUAGGCUGAGAUGAAAACUGUUUCAGUAGCUGAGCUGAAGAAAUGACGCUCACUUUCACCUUUGCCGCAUCACUGCACUGUUCACUACCGGGAAAUGGAGGUGGCAUUCAGACCAGCCGCUCUGCUGGAAGAUGUUGCUGUGGGGUCAUUACUGGCAGUGAGUUGGCACUUAGUGAUGGUGAACUCUGUACUAACUUCUGCCACAGAGAAUCAGAGACAUUUGGCAGAAUCACCAAGGUUGGAAAAGACCUCCAAGAUCCUCUAGUCCAACUAUCCACCUACAACUGCUGGGUGAGAACAGGCAAUAAUUUGAAUUGUAUGAGGUUAACUGCUAGACAAUAACACAUGUAAUCAUUACUAUGGUUGUUAUAUGCCUUGUCAAUGGUAUUACAGUAAGAAUCACCCAGACUAAAGAAGAAAGAGUUCUGAUGGAAGCAGAACUAACUUCAGCAAGCAGUAAUCCAACACCAUGCAUCACCCCUUUCACACUGAAGGACUGUUAUAACAAGAUGGUGUCGAAAGUCAUAGACUAAAUUAACUCCAUGUACAAUUUACUGGGAUGGCCUCCCACUGGGAGGGGGAAGGGAAGUAAGCAAAAGGCUGCUUGGUGUUAAGCUGCUUGCUGGGUUAAACCACAACAGCACAUUGGAAGAAACAUACUAUCACAUGCAGUCAGCUGAAUUUACCCAGAGCUGGAAUGAGACAGGAAAAAAAAACCAUCAUUAUGGUGGUGUACGCAUCUGAGGCCAGUAACACCAAGCCAGACUAGGGGUCCCAACACUGAGGAAGCCCUUCGUGUUGAUACCUCCAGCCACAGGAAAAGGCAGUGCCUGCUUAAGUCCAGAAAGUAAAACAUUUCUGCAUUAUGGGAAGGUUUGCCCAUAGGAAAACCGAUUUGAACUCCAGAUGACAGAACUGCCUGUUCAGUAAGUCAGGAUCAAGGGCAAUGCUGUUAUCCUUCAUGUCCACUGUGACCCUCACAUUAGGACCUCCAGUCUCAGGGCAGGAUGAAGAAUAAAACUGAAUGCUAAUACUCUAAAAUGAAGUGAAAAAUCAUUUAAAAAUUCAACAUUUUCUUUUUCCUUGCCCUGCUAGCCUUCCCC